rnacentral:rRNA from 1 species
AAUUUUGGACAAUGGGGGCAACCCUGAUCCAGCCAUCCCGCGUGUGCGAUGAAGGCCUUCGGGUUNUAAAGCACUUUUGGCAGGGANGAAAAGGCUCUGGCUAAUACUUGGAGCUGCUGUCGGUACCUAAGGAGGAACCCGCGGCUAACUACGUCCCAGAAGCCGCGGUAAUACGUGGGGGGCAAGCGUUGUCCGGAAUUAUUGGGCGUAAAGGGUGCGUAGGCGGCCUUUUAAGUCAGAUGUGAAAGCCCACGGCUUAACCGUGGGACUGCAUUUGAAACUGGAGGGCUUGAGUAUCGGAGAGGGUAGUGGAAUUCCCAGUGUAGCGGUGGAAUGCGUAGAUAUUGGGAGGAACACCAGUGGCGAAGGCGACUACCUGGACGAAAACUGACGCUGAGGCACGAAAGCUAGGGGAGCAAAC